AUUGCUGUAUGUGUGUGCCUGGCUGUCUAUGUGUGUGCAUGGCUGUCUCUGUGUGUGUGUAUAUAUGGCUGUGUGUGUGUGUCUGUCAGUGAGUCUGUGUGUGUGUAUGUCAGUGUGGGUCUGUGAGGGAGCCUGUGUGUCUGAGUGAUUGUGUGUGUCUGUGAGGGAGCCUGUUUGUCAGUUAGUGUGUGUCUGUGAGUGAAUUUGUGUGUCUGUGAGUGCAUGUGUGUGUUGGAGUGAUUCUGUGUGUGUGUGUG